AGUGAACGCUGGCGGUAGGCCUAACACAUGCAAGUCGAACGGCAGCACAGUAAGAGCUUGCUCUUACGGGUGGCGAGUGGCGGACGGGAGAGGAAUACAUCGGAAUCUACUUUUUCGUGGGGGAUAACGUAACGAAACUUACGCUAAUACCGCAUACCACCUACCGGUGAAAGCAGGGGAUCUUCUGACCUUGCGCGGUUGAACUAGCCGAUGUGGGAUUAGCUAGUUGGCGGGGUGAAGGCCCACCAAGGCGACGAUCCGUAGCUGGUCUGGGAGGAUGGUAGGCGACACGGGAACGGAGACACGGUCCAGAGUCCUACGGGAGGGAGCAGUGUGGAAUAGUGGACAAUGGGCGGAAGCCUGACACAGCCAUACCGCGUGGGAGACGAAGGCGUUCGGGGUGUAAAGCCCGUUUGUGGGGAAAGAACAGCAUCAGCUUAAGACGCAGCUGUAGUGACGGUACUCAAAGAAUAAGCACCGGCUAACUUCGUG
rnacentral:rRNA from 1 species